rnacentral:tRNA from 1 species
GCCCGGGUGGUGGAAUUGGUAGACACAAAGGACUUAAAAUCCUUCGGCGUUAAAACCGUGCCGGUUCGAUUCCGGCCCCGGGCA